UACGAAGGGGGCUAGCGUUGUUCGGAAUUACUGGGCGUAAAGCGCGCGUAGGCGGCUUUGUAAGUUAGAGGUGAAGGCCCGGGGCUCAACCCCGGAACUGCCUUUAAGACUGCAUCGCUUGAAUCCGGGAGAGGUGAGUGGAAUUCCGAGUGUAGAGGUGAAAUUCGUAGAUAUUCGGAGGAACACCGAUGGCGAAGGCAAUCCCCUGGACCUGUACUGACGCUCAUGCACGAAAGCGUGGGGAGCAAACAGG
rnacentral:rRNA from 1 species